AUGUUUCUUUUCUCUUCUUUUUUGUAUGACUAUUUUAUGUUUCAUAUAUAUAUAUAUAUAACAAGUUACUCCUGCAUACAACAAUAAUUAAAACAUAAGGUGGAGUUAAUCCUAGGCAAUGGCUUCUUAUGUCUAUCAAACUCGUUUUUUCUGGAUUUUGUGUUUUGCUUUAGUUUUGCUUUCGGGUUUCGCAACUUGUUUGGGUCCUGUGGGUCCUCCAGGACUAAAAUGCUCUGGGAAAUGCAUUGAUGGACCAACAUGCAAUAAAUCUUGCAUUGACCAAGGCAAUAAGAAUGGUGGGGUAUGUUUAGGUGCUACUCCUAAAACUAUGAUUUGUUGUUGUAGAAAAUCAAAAUUGAACUUCAUCAUUUAAGUUAAUGGAAGUAGUUUUUCUGUCUUUUGUUUUGAAACCAUCGUGUAGUACGAUAGAAUAAAAAUUGAAUUUAUAUAUGUUUUAUAUGUAUGUUUUCAAUACUUUAUUCAUGCAUAAGUCAGUCUACUAUCAUUAUACAGUUAUAAAUUACAACAGUGCUGUAUGGAUCAAAAAGUAAUUCGCAAGAUUUGCUUUAAGGAAAUUGAAUUA